AUAAAAGAAAAAUAAAAAGGUAUUAUGAGAAAAUAAAAUAGAAAAAGGAAACUUACCAUUUUGUGUUGGUGGGGCUUUAUUGAGAGAGUUGAAUAAAGGGGGAAGGAAGAGAAGAAGAGGGCAUAUUUUCUUGUGGCUGCCGUGACCUAGAGAGAGAGAGAGAGAGAGAGAGAGUGGCGUGUAGAGAGAGAGGGAGAAGAAGAAAGAAAGGAAGAAAGAAGAAGAAGGUGAAGAGGAACCCAUUUUAGAUUUUCAAAUAAAACCCUAGGCUUGAACAAGGGGUGUGAAGUUUGGGAGUUGAUCAUAUUGUGUUCUUGAUUUUACAAUCAAGAGAGGUAGCAAAUAAGAUUUCUUUAUGGCACGCGUGGUGACGUGAGGAGUUCUAUCAUCAUGGGGUGUAUGGCGUGGGGUAAUCCUAUGGACGGAAAAACGAUCAUCGUAGAAUGCCAUUUAAAUUAUGUUUUGUUUAAGAGACUUUCCUAAAUUAUCAGUGGGACUUAGUUAUUUGAUUUUGUUUCUUUUAAACUUUGCAUAAAAAUUUAUGUUUUCUUUUAAAACUAAUGGCGCCAACUUGCAUGGUUUUAAGCAAGUCCCCACUGAGACUUUGAUAAUGAGUGGUAUUCUUUUACAAACUAUGUUAUGCGAAUGUUUUAUAAGUAUUAGCUUAGGGCGUUCA